AAGCGCUGGUGGCCUAGCGGUUAGAGCGUGCGACUUGCAAUCCGGAGGUCGCGGGUUCGAACCCCGGCUCGUACCAAUGAUUUGUUACAAAAUAUAAUUUGAUAUUCACUAGUCGCUUUUCGGUGAAGGAAAACAUCGUGAGGAAACCGGACUAAUCCCAACAAGGCCUAGUUUACCCUCUGGGUUGGAAGGGCAGAUGGCAGUCGCUUUCGUAAAAACUAGUGCCUACGCCAAUUCCUGGGAUUAGUUGCCACGCGGACCCCAGGCUCCCAUGAGCCGUGGCAAAAUGCCGGGACAACGCGAGGAAGA